rnacentral:lncRNA from 1 species
AUCCCGUGACAGUAAAAAUAUGAAAUGCAGACAUCCCAAGUCUCCCGGAAAUUCCGGAAGUCUCCCGCAUAUUGAUAGCGGCUCCCUGAUGCCCGCAAAUGAGUUAAAAUAUCCCGGAAUUUAGAACGAGUGAUCACUGGAGAAGGGUCCAACUGCAGCUUGCAGCAGUCGCUCACGCCAGGCCCCCUGCUCACGCCGCGCCCGCUCACGCCGCGCCCCCGCUAGCACGCAACUUCCGACUUUCAGACAUGUACGGUUUGUUUACAAAAUGCAGAUGGACCAUAUUGCCAUAUUGAGUCAUGGCGGCAACAACUCCCGGGAAGCACCUGUAUGCACUCAGCCUGAGCACAGAGGCUCCAUUUUGGUUAAUUGAGAGGGACAUGGCACGCAUCUGAAAAUGGUGGUGCAUUAGUCUAAUGGAACGGUUCCAGAUUGACGGGUAAGACAACUCUAAAUGUUACUUCCUACAAUACAUUGCUUCUACAUUAGUUAACUUUUUUUAUUAUUUUACUAAUAUCUUACUCAAAAGCCAUGGACAGAGGUUUGCAUACUGGACUAAUGAGGCCAGAGCAUUGCUCCAAGGUUCACUGCAGCCGAUAUACAGGGUCCCAAAGGUCAGCAAGAGGAAACAUGAGGUUUCGAUUAGAAAAUGAUGACAGGUGCAUCAUAUUGGAGUUACCAACGUGUGUGCUUUCUGAAAUCCUAAAUGAAGUGGUACUACAGGAAGGAGAUAAGGCAUACUUAAGAUUGGCUCUUGUGUGUACCACCUUCAGGGACACUGUGUCCACUGACUCCUUCAGGAGACGGGCACAUUUUCAGUGGCUUGACAGUAAGUGUUUAAAUAAAGUGUGCUGUGGUAUACAAUUCUUGAGUACCUCACAUGUGUUUUCACUAACCUUAUGGAAAUGUUCACUUUUGAUUGAUCAUUUGUUUUUCACAGGUGUCGCUACAUGGAGCAGGUUUUCUGAGUCCUAA